GGAUUCACUCUCUUCCUCCCUGCAGUGGUGGCACGGGAAACAUCCUCCAGCCCGGGUCUUCGCUCACAGUGCAGCCUCUGCACACAGGUCAUCCACCUGCAGACCUUGACGGGACCCUCAGCCUCCCUGCUCUGACCAUCUGGUUUAAUAGCUGAGGAACCAGAAGCCAAGACAGGGCCUGGACGGUGAAGACCAGGCUGUUUCCAUCUUCAGCACCCCGAAAGCCACCUGCGCAUAGGAAGAUGGUCAAGGGGCUCAUCUGGAAUCCCUCCUCACUUGCUGGACCGAGGACCUCGCCCUGUUCCCCUCGUUAGUGCUGAGUCCAUCAGCCCAGCAAAACAGGUCUCUCCAGCAGUUUCUACAAAAUAGACCACAGCCGGGCCUGGAGUCAGCCCCCGAUAAAGGAUUCAUCAUG